GUGGCUGUGGCUCAGUGAUAGAGCGCUCACCUAGCAUGUGCGAGGCACUGGGUUCAAUUCUCAGCACCACA
rnacentral:tRNA from 1 species